UACGUAGGGGGCAAGCGUUAUCCGGAAUCACUGGGCGUAAAGCGUGCGUAGGCGGGAAUUUAAGUGAGAUGUUAAAUCGUGUGGCUCAACCAUAUCGAUGCGUCUCAUACUGGGUUCCUAGAGGAUGGCAGAGGCAAGUGGAAUUGGUAGUGUAGCAGUGAAAUGCGUAGAUAUUACCAGGAACACCAAUGGCGAAGGCAGCUUGCUGGGCCACCCCUGACGCUGAGGUACGAAAGCGUGGGGAGCGAACAGG
rnacentral:rRNA from 1 species